CGGGAUGUAGCGCAGUUUGGUAGCGCACUUCGUUCGGGACGAAGGUGUCAAAGCUGAAUUUUAUCGUGG
rnacentral:tRNA from 1 species